rnacentral:lncRNA from 10 species
ACAGCUUCUUGAGUUUGGAGAUACAUAUACACCUGUGAAACCAUCACUGCAAUCUAUGCCAUGAACCUAUCCAUCUCUUCCAGAAGUUUUCUUCUAUCAUCUUUGUUAAUUAUGAUGAUGAAGUGAUGAUGAUGAUGAUGAUAAAGAACACUUAACAUAAGCUCAACAAGACUGCAGCUCACUGCUUGAGUUCCACCUUCCUAAACCAGGGUGGAAAAUGUUCCUAAGAAGGUGGCCAGGGCUCAUUUGUAGAAGGGACUUGCCUUGUCUCUGAUGAGAUUUUGGACUUGGACUUUUGAGUUAAUGCUGGAAUGAGUUGCAACUUUGGAGACUGUUGGGAAGGCAUGAUUGUGUUUUGAAAUGUGAGGAUAUGAUAUUUGGGAGGGGUCAGGGGAAGAAUGACAUGGUUUGGCUCUGUGUCCCCACUCAAAUCUCAUAUCAAAUUGUAAUCCACCACGUGUUGAGGGAGGGAGCCUGUGGGAGGUGAUUGGAUCAUGGGGGCAGAUUUCCCCCUUGCUCUUCUCAUGAUAGUGAGUGAGGUCUCAUGAGAUCUGGUUGUUUGAAAGUGUGUAACACUUCCCCCUUUGCUCUCUUUCCUGAUGGCCAUGCGAAGACAUACUUGCUUCCCCUUCACCUUCUGCCAUGAUUGUAGUUUCCUGAGGCCUGCCCCGAAGCAGAAGCCUGUACAACCCACAGAACUAUGAGCCAAUUAAUCAUCUUUUCUUUAUAAAUUACCCAGUCUCAGGUAUGUCUUUAUAGCAGUGUGAGAACAGACUGAUACACCAUAAUACUAUUAAUUGUCUUUAAUAUUGUUUUUCAAUUUAUAAUAUAAAUAAAGUUGUAAAGGACAGUCUUAUAUGUGCCUCCUCAUGCAUAGCUAUACUCAUUUAUGUUAGAUAUAGCAGGGAAUGUAAUUAUUGGAACAUAGGGUAAGCAUAUGUUCAGCUUUAGUUUAACUUUAUUCUUUUUAUCUACCCUGUUUAGAGAUUAUUAGAGGAUGCAUUAUCAUCAUUCUGGUAGAACAUAAAUGGCUUCCUUCUUUCUCUUAAAACAUCACUGAUACUGAUGUAUUCAGCACUUCUUUUUAGGACACUACAGAAAUUUUAUAUAUAGAUGUAGAAAUCAAGCCAACAAAAUAUAAGAUGAUUUUAUUGAAGUCAUGCAUAAAGUAAAUAAGAGAUUUGGAAAUAUAGCUCAGAAUAUGCAAACCCUCAAGUCAUCAUAAAAUGCCACUUUAAAAAAUUGAAUCAAAAGUCAAAAUAUUCUGGUAAAGAAUCAUCCUGGAGUGGAUGAAGGCAACAUGCUAUUCAAUGUAGUCUUUCUCACCACCAAAGGAAUUGACUUUUGAAAGGAGUGAUAAGUCUGGCAUAUACAGUGAUAGACUCUGAUCAGAAACAUAAAGUCAUUUACAUUGUGCUCAGACUAUGAUGAUGGAUGUGAUGCUAUUUCUAGUGCAAUGAUAGGUCCAGGU